rnacentral:rRNA from 1 species
AUUGAACGCUGGCGGCAGGCCUAACACAUGCAAGUCGAACGGAGAGGCGGACGUAUGAGUAAUGUCUGGGCAACUGCCUGAUGGAUGGGGAUCACUACUGGAAACGGUAGCUAAUACCGCAUACUUGAAGAUGGGACUCGGUGGGUUUAGCUAGUUGGGGGGGUAAAGGCCUACCAAGGCGACGAUCCGUAACUGGUCUGAGAGGAUGAUCAGUCACACUGGAACUGAUACACGGUCCAGACUCCUACGGGAGGCAGCAGUGGGGAAUAUUGGACAAUGGGCGAAAGCCUGAUCCAGCCAUGCCGCGUGUGUGAAGAAGGUCUUCGGAUUGUAAAGCACUUUAAGUUGGGAGGCGUUACCAACAGAAUAAGCACCGGCUAACUUCGUGCCAGCAGCCGCGGUAAUAC